GCCAGCAUGGCAUAAUGGUUUGAGUGCUAGACUGCGACUCUGGAGAACAGGGUUUGAUUCCCAGUUUUGCCA